UCCGGUUUGUCACCGGCAGUCUCGUUAAAGUGCCCAACUAAAUGGUGGCAAUUAACGACAAGGGUUGCGCUCGUUGCGGGACUUAACCCAACAUCUCACGACACGAGCUGACGACAGCCAUGCAGCACCUGUGUUGCGGUUCCCUUUCGGGCACCAAGACAUCUCUGUCCCGUUCCGCACAUGUCAAGGGUAGGUAAGGUUUUUCGCGUUGCAUCGAAUUAAUCCACAUAAUCCACCGCUUGUGCGGGUCCCCGUCAAUUCCUUUGAGUUUUAGCCUUGCGGCCGUACUCCCCAGGCGGUCAACUUCACGCGUUAGCUUCGUUACCAAGGAAUUACUUCCCCGACAACCAGUUGACAUCGUUUAGGGCGUGGACUAC
rnacentral:misc_RNA from 1 species